ACGGGAGGCAGCAGUGGGGAAUAUUGCACAAUGGGGGGAACCCUGAUGCAGCAAUGCCGCGUGAAGGAAGAAGUAUUUCGGUAUGUAAACUUCUAUCAGCAGGGAAGAAAAUGACGGUACCUGACUAAGAAGCCCCGGCUAACUACGUGCCAGCAGCCGCGGUAAUACGUAGGGGGCAAGCGUUAUCCGGAUUUACUGGGUGUAAAGGGAGCGCAGGCGGCAGGGCAAGUCAGAUGUGAAAGCCCGGGGCCCAACCCCGGGACUGCAUUUGAAACUGUCCGGCUUGAGUACAGGAGAGGCAGGCGGAAUUCCUAGUGUAGCGGUGAAAUGCGUAGAUAUUAGGAGGAACACCAGUGGCGAAGGCGGCCUGCUGGACUGUAACUGACGCUGAGGCUCGAAAGCGUGGGGAGCAAACAGGAUUAGAUACCCUGGUA
rnacentral:rRNA from 1 species